CCUUGCCAUGCUUUUUUAUUAGAUCCCUGGAUAGAAACCUUGCGUGGGUCAUUCCGCGGUCAGUGCUCAUCUCCUUGUUGUUCCGAGGAAGGACAGGAGGAUUUCUGUAAGGAAUGGCACUAUUUAUAAAACAAAUAUAAAACCAGGCCUCCAUUUUGCACGAGUGACAAGUCAUGAGAACUCCAGCGGCUGUAUAUUUGUUGAACACCCGCCUCCUGGCUUCCAGCUUUGCUCCUCCCUGCUCCUAAAUCACAGCUUACUGCUAUUUUUACAACAGAAGAUUAAUGGAUGUGAACAAGCACAGAUAUCCGAGUAUCUCGCACACUCGCGGACAAGUAUUUUGAUUGUUCAGCCGUGGUUUUACAUUUAAUAGCCUUGCUACCUUCUCCCAGCAGCAACCGCGCUCCGCUCUCACAUGUGGAACAAUUUACAUUUCCCUUUUGCACUGCGGUGGAAGGCUCAGCUCAUGCUGUGAGCAGAGCAGUCUCGUGAGCUCCUUCCCAAGCCCAUUGGCAGCCCACAUUUGCUGCCACAAAUAUUGCACAACAGGAGCUGCCGCGUAGAAGGAGGACCAGGAUCCAGUAGCACUGCCUGCAAACAGGAUUUGCACCUGUUCCACAGAUACCCUGCAGCCCUGUGGCACCAAACAUUCAUUAACAACCAGUGCAAUUUUUGAGCGACUUGUAUUUACGUGUAAGGACAAGGACUCAUUAUCGUUGUCAUCUAUGUAUUGUUGUUUUACAUAACAGCUGCAGUAGAGCAAGUGCACUUUGGUCAAUAGUUUCAUUUAUUAUAAAGUAAUAAAUUAGGAAUAUUUUUCCCUCGACAAUAAGUUUUAUGCCAAGAUUUUAUGUAGCUUAAAGCAAGUUGUCAAUUAGGCUACUUAAAUUAAUUUUUGGCAGCAGUUAAUUGGAGC
ensembl:lncRNA